GAUGAAGAACGUAGCGAAAUGCGAUACUUGGUGUGAAUUGCAGAAUCCGGUGAACCAUCGAGUCUUUGAACGCAAGUUGCGCCCGAAGCCAUUAGGCCGAGGGCACGCCUGCCUGGGCGUCACACGUCGUUGCCCCCCCAUCUACUCCUUCGGGAUUGCGGGGGGCGGAUGAUGGCCUCCCGUGCGCCUCGCCGCGCGGUUGGCAUAAAUGCCAAGUCCUCGGCGACGCACGCCACGACAAUCGGUGGUUGCGAAACCUCGGUUGCCCGUCGUGUGCGGUCGUCGCGCAUCGAGGGCUCGAAAAAAUUGCCGGGUUCCGGCUCGGCUUUCAACGCGACCCCAGGUCAGGCGGGGUUACCCGCUGAAUUUAAGCAUAUCAAUAAGCGGAGGA
rnacentral:misc_RNA from 1 species